rnacentral:rRNA from 1 species
UUCGUAGGGGGCGAGCGUUGUCCGGAAUCAUUGGGCGUAAAGCGCGUGUAGGCGGCUUGGUAAGUCCGGUGUGAAACCUUGGGGCUCAACCCCAAGCCUGCACUGGAUACUGCCUCGCUUGAGUCCGGGAGGGGAGAGCGGAAUUCCUAGUGUAGCGGUGAAAUGCGCAGAUAUUAGGAAGAACACCGGUGGCGAAGGCGGCUCUCUGGAACGGUACUGACGCUGAGACGCGACAGCGUGGGGAGCGAACAGG